rnacentral:ncRNA from 1 species
ACCGGGGCGGUUUGGCUGAUUUAGAACUGCUACAGAUCAAAAAAUUGCCGUCGAUGCAGUGCAAGUUCUGCCCAGGGCUCUCAAUGUCAAAAUAAAUAAUUCAACCAAGCACUGAUGAGCGGGGGAAAUAAUUUUGACUCUCAAGGUAGCCAAAUGCUUCGUCAUCGAGUUCCCUCGUAACGCGUAUGAAUGGUUAACAAGAUUCCC